GGUGAACGCUGGCGGCGUGCCUAAUACAUGCAAGUCGAGCGAAUGGAUUAAGAGCCUGCUCUUAUGAAGUUAGCGGCGGACGGGUGAGUAACACGUGGAUAACCUGCCCAUAAGACUGGGAUAACUCCGGGAAACCGGGGCUAAUACCGGAUAACAUUUUGAACUGCAUGGUUCGAAAUUGAAAGGCGGCUUCGGCUGUCACUUAUGGAUGGACCCGCGUCGCAUUAGCUAGUUGGUGAGGUAACGGCUCACCAAGGCAACGAUGCGUAGCCGACCUGAGAGGGUGAUCGGCCACACUGGGACUGAGACACGGCCCAGACUCCUACGGGAGGCAGCAGUAGGGAAUCUUCCGCAAUGGACGAAAGUCUGACGGAGCAACGCCGCGUGAGUGAUGAAGGCUUUCGGGUCGUAAAACUCUGUUGUUAGGGAAGAACAAGUGCUAGUUGAAUAAGCUGGCACCUUGACGGUACCUAACCAGAAAGCCACGGCUAACUACGUGCCAGCCGCCGCGGUAA
rnacentral:rRNA from 1 species